UCUGCCCUAUACAAGGAAUAGCCUCGGGAACCGGGAUUAAACCGUAUACACUUAAGUACCGCAUGGUACAAAAGUCAAAUUGAUUAAGAGGUAUAGGAUGAGUUCGCGUCUGAUUAGCUAGUUGGCGGGGUAACGGCCCACCAAGGCGACGAUCAGUAGCCGGCCUGAGAGGGUGAACGGCCACACUGGAACUGAGACACGGUCCAGACUCCUACGGGAGGCAGCAGUGGGGAAUAUUGCACAAUGGGGGAAACCCUGAUGCAGCGACGCCGCGUGAGUGAAGAAGGUCUUCGGAUCGUAAAACUCUGUCCUUGGUGACGAAAAAAAUGACGGUAGCCAAGGAGGAAGCCCCGGCUAACUACGUGCCAGCAGCCGCGGUAAUACGUAGGGGGCGAGCGUUGUCCGGAUUUACUGGG
rnacentral:rRNA from 1 species